AUGGUGCUUGAGUUUCAGAGCUCACAGGCCUCCUCUUCCCCAGGUCGGCCUCCUGCAGCUGCUCCAGGUAAAAGAGUAUGUGGGACAAAACGACCUGAGAACAUGAGGCUCAGCCCCUGCUUCUCUGUCGGAAGGAGUGGUGGAGACGAUCAGACCAUUUCACUUACGUCACCAACGACAAAAUAUGUUUUCCUCUGCCCUCAACCACGCGGUCAGCACAAGAGUUCUGCUCUGACUCCAGGGCAGAGUCUGUCGAGCUCAUCUCCAAACAAAUUAGAGAAGAUGAGAUGUGGUGAUGGAUGAGAAGGUGGCUAAGAGAGACUCCAGCCAACACAGCUUUUCAUGAUUGGGAUCAAACUCAAUCUGCAGGAGAGCUCCAGAGAGAACAAGGCCCCGUCCCUCAUUUCACCCCCACACAAAGCUGAGGCCAGAGAACGUCAAGACUUACCCAAGGUCACACAGCCACAUAGCAGCAGAGCUGGGACUGGGCUCUAGCUGUCCUACUGCACAGGCCCCUUCUUUCCCACUCAGGCCGGCUUGUAAUUAUUUCUGAAGACAAUGGCGGGGGAAAAGGUUCUGAAUACUCUCUGGGUAACAGCUAACUCCCAGAGAAUAAGGUACGCAGGCUCAGUCUGAUUCCCAACGACAGAAGAACGGACGACGCUCCUCCCAACGUACUGGGACAGGAAGCUCCAAGCACCUCAGAGCAGCGGCUUUUCCCUCAGAGGUAAGUGCUAGAGAAGCAGCCUGCGGGCGGGCCUCCCAGCCCUAGUACAGCGGAGCGCUCUGAGCAGGCGCAGGCACAGUAGCAGCCUGGACGCCAUCCCCCGCCCCCCACUCACACACACUCCUCCACCCCUCCCCAC
rnacentral:lncRNA from 1 species